rnacentral:lncRNA from 10 species
CAGCCGUGUAAGAUGUGCCUGCUUCCCCCUCGCCUUCUGGCAUGACUGUAAGUUUGCUGAAGCCUCCCAGCCAUGCAUCCUGUAAAGCCUGUGGAACUAAGAUGAAGCUGAAAAUUUACAAUUUCAAGAUAUUCUUAGAAGAUAUCUGGUCUACUUUUUUGAGCUGUUAACAUUUUUCUGAGAGUUAACUUUUCUUGGGAAGAAAUGAAGUGGAAAUAUGGUUGCUGCCUAAGAAGUAAUAAUAGGAGAUACAGGAAGCAGUUUGAAAUGGAAUAGAAACAACUUGUGAUAGAGGACAGAAGCCAUAUCAGAAGUCACGGAAUUAAUUAUGUGAGUCUGGGAUCAGUGAGAGAUGAAAAUUGAGAAGAAAGAAAACUGUAAGACUCUGUGACUUGAAAAAUCCAGGAGAGACAGGCAACUGAAUUGCUACAUUGUAUUUUCUCUUAAACCCAAGAAAAUUCCCUGUGUUAGAACAACUUGAAUGAAAAGAAGAAUAAACAGGUGUCCAACAAUAACAUUUCCAAGAUAGGAAGAAAGCGAGGGUUCAAAACGGAGGGAGGCUGAUCCCGGGUGCACUGUGGCAGGUGGCAGUAUAGAUUUUUGUGAAGCAGCAGUGUGCUGUGAUAUGAGUAGCAGAUGAAGAAGGAAGGAAAUGAAGUCACUCAAUUCUUAUAUGGCAUAAUUACUCUUAUAUUUGGAAUCAACAUGUGGAAUUUCUAGAUAGAUGGAGUCUCAAUAUGUUUCCCAGGCUGGUCUGGAACUCCUGGCUUCAAACAAUCUUCCUGCCUCAACCUCCCAAAAUGCUGGAAUAACAGGAGUUGAGCCAUCAUUCCUAGACUCAGAUGUUUCAAAUCUACUAAUUUAUGGAUGUUACUGAUACCACCUUAGCCCAGAUAUUUCCAAUUGCAGGUGUUUUUAUUUGCCUGAAGUCAUUUACUAGCACUGCAGUUAAAGUAAACUUUUUAAAACACAAAAUACAUUGUGCCACAUGCCAACUGAAAAUAUACAUGCAUACCUCAGUUUUUGGGCCUCACUUUAUUGCACUUUACAGAUGUUGUAUUUUUUUUUUGCAAAUUGAAAGUUUUUGGCAAUCCUGCAUUGAAUAAAUCUAUCAGAGCCAUUUUUCCAACAACAUAUGCUCACUUCAUGUCUUUGUGUCACAUUUUGGUAAUUCUUACAAUAUUUUAAACUUUAUCAUUAUUAUUAAAUUUAUUAUGGUGAUCUGUGAUCAGUGAUCUUUGAUGUUAACACUGUAAUUGUUUGGGGGCACCAGGAACUCUGUGUAUAUAUAAUGGCAAACUUAAUCGACACAUGUUGUGUAUGUUCUGACUGUUCCACCAACCAGACUCUGC